CGGUGACCGAUCGCGAACGAGCGUCACAUCGGGCACGAUCAAAUAAAUGCGUGAGUGGAGUGACAAUUAAAAGCGACACCGAUUGUGCUGUCCGUACGCGAUCGUAUCGGCGUCGGACUGCCAGGAAGGCUCGCGGACAGAUAACGGAAAGAAUAGAAUUAUACUACAUAGGAAAGGAACUUACGAAGAACAUGCUGCAGAAUAGGUCCGCGAUAUCAAAGUAGCAAAACAACAAACAUUUGCAUCUAACAGAAACAUUCAAGGUGGUCAAGUCUCACCCUGCAGAACAAUAGAGGCGGAAUUAAUUUUUGCUCCGGCAUGUAACGCUGUUCUUUAAUUGGUAAGGGAGAGUAUCAUCGCGAUGGAAUCAUCGCGGGAUUCAAAUCGUCUGGAAACCGACGAAGGAUAAAUCCCAUCUCCGCGCAACUUAAACGAACGCACGAAGUAUACAAUGUUACAUGUUGAGAGUUCUUUUUCGUUCUAAGCAUCUCGAGAACCUUAAAAAUUAGAAAAAAAAACAUAGAAAUAAAUGAAUGCGAACAAAUCGUUGGUCGAAGGCAAUGACGGAUUCGAAAUCGCGCAGGAUGCUGUCAUCGCUCGGCCGUAAAGCUUGGUUAAUCGGCCAAUUAACGCGCGCCGUCACCGGUGUCCCUUGACCUCCUGCGAUGUUGUUCUUCGCACUUUUAAUCGGCUCCUCAUGAUCUUAAUUGAGAUUACGUCUCCGAAUCUCUGUCAUCACGAGAAAAUACUGCAGAAAACAUUACGUUAUGAUUUUGCGAAAACGAGCCGGAAGUUAUCGGGCAUUACCGGUUGACCUUCGACGUGUAUAAUACUGCAUGAAAAUAAAAAAAAAGAACAAAGAGACAAAAGAUUAUGUGAGUUUCGAAUGAUCGGUAGCAACGAUGGCCAAUGAUUACGACCAUAAUUCGCAAAUAUUAAAUAAUACGAGGAUGUCGUAUUAUACAAAAUUAUAAAUUUUACAAGACGUCGUCGUGAAGGAAUGCAGAAACCGGCGAUGAGAACAAUGUUACGACUGAUUAAUGGCUGGCAGAGCUCGAUAGGAAAUCCCGCGAGAUGGGUACGUGUGAAUUGAUAAUUUAUUGGAAAGAGUCGAGAGUGUGUAUAUGUGAGCGUGCCACGCAGGGCAAAUAUGAAGUAAGAAUCCGCGCGUCCCGUGGCGAACGUAUUUAUUUUGUUCGCAAAAAUACAAUCGCUCGGCCUCCGAAGGCCGUGCCUAUCGUCAAAUAAAUCACAAAGCGCAUCGAGUUAUCAAUAUUAAAUGCUCUUCUACAAAACGGGGCUGAACGAUUUAUCGGCGAUUAACAAAAAGUCAAAUUCCUUGAUCCGGUAUCCUUUUUUUAUGGCGAUAAUGCGCGAUUUCGCUGUCGGAUUCAUUUUUUAAUCAUCGCAUUGUCGCCACGCGCGGUAGCUUGUGAAAAUUGCAGGAAUUCUAGAAAAAUAUCGUGUAAAAAAAGUGGUGGAACAAUGAGGCGAUUACAGGAUUUUCUUUGUUGAAAAUUCCGCGAAGGUGGAUGAGAGAAGACGAGGAAGCAUAUAGGGAAAUCGCACACUGAGAAAAUAAGUUGUUAAAAUAACUAAAUACAUUUUGUUGACAGUUUUUCUUUAGUUCAAUAAGUUCAAUUAUG